rnacentral:rRNA from 1 species
CCUACGGGGGGCAGCAGUGGGGAAUUUUGGACAAUGGGCGCAAGCCUGAUCCAGCCAUGCCGCGUGUCUGAAGAAGGCCUUCGGGUUGUAAAGGACUUUUGUCAGGGAAGAAGAGGCUGUUGCUAAUAUCGACAGCUGAUGACGGUACCUGAAGAAUAAGCACCGGCUAACUACGUGCCAGCAGCCGCGGUAAUACGUAGGGUGCGAGCGUUAAUCGGAAUUACUGGGCGUAAAGCGAGCGCAGACGGUUACUUAAGCAGGAUGUGAAAUCCCCGGGCUCAACCUGGGAACUGCGUUCUGAACUGGGUGACUAGAGUGUGUCAGAGGGAGGUAGAAUUCCACGUGUAGCAGUGAAAUGCGUAGAGAUGUGGAGGAAUACCGAUGGUGAAGGCAGCCUCCUGGGAUAACACUGACGUUCAUGCUCGAAAGCGUGGGUAGCAAACAGGAUUAGAUACCCGAGUAGUC